UACGUAGGGUGCGAGCGUUGUCCGGAAUUAUUGGGCGUAAAGGGCUCGUAGGCGGUCUGUCGCGUCAGGAGUGAAAACUCGGGGCUUAACCCCGAGCCUGCUCCUGAUACGGGCAGACUAGAGGUAUGCAGGGGAGAACGGAAUUCCUGGUGUAGCGGUGAAAUGCGCAGAUAUCAGGAGGAACACCGGUGGCGAAGGCGGUUCUCUGGGCAUUACCUGACGCUGAGGAGCGAAAGUGUGGGGAGCGAACAGG
rnacentral:rRNA from 1 species